ensembl:lncRNA
GAGCAGCCACAGAACCAUUAGUGCUGGUGUGGGAGUUAAUGGUUCUUAAAGAAAUCCUGUUUUUGCUGGACCUGCGUGUAGCAGUGGUCUAUUGAACUGCGGCAUCUUCCUCCUCUGUUUAAAGUCACUUAAUAUUUUAUGAACAUCUGUAAGGUGGCAUUUGAAAUGUCUCUGAUGGUGGCCCCAUUCAGGCAUUGGAACGUGUUGUCUGGGGAAAUGGCAAGUCUACAUGCCUGGAGGUACUGAAGACAUUCAUGGAUGUGGCACCAAGGGACAUGGAAUAGAGAUGGGACUUGGGCAAUGUAAAUGGGACUUCACCCCAUCCCCACCUCCUGACUUGAGACUGUGGCUUGAGAACAGCAGGAAUUGCUCAUGGGACAGACCAGGGAUGUAUAUAUCAAGGCUGGAACACAGAGAUGAAAGCAUCCCGGGGGCAGGCAGAAGAGUGGGGCUGGAAUUCAGCUUCCUCACUGCAAGAUUUCACUUUCACUGAGUAGAUAUUUGGUAAAAUAUCUCUUCCUCCUCAUGCUGAGGACCUUAUUGCUCCCCAGGCCUGAGCACAGGAUCAUUCAACAGAAAGACAUUGAAAAAGUCAGCGUUGGCUUUUUCUCUCUGCAAAUAACACCGUGUUUCAGAGAGGCUGAAAUUGCAACAUGAAUCAAAGCAGACAGCUGGAGUCUAUGCGUGCAGCCUGCAGCCCUCAUGCACUGAAGGGCCUGCCCUGUCCCCAGGACGUCUAUGGACGCUCCAAGGUGAGAGCCCUGAGAGCAGUGCCUGGUGAGGAGCAGUGUCCUUCAGGUGACACCCCAAAGGCUUGUGCUCAUCCCAUGGGCAUCUAUGAGAAGAGCAGCUGCUGGGCCAGCUUCUUGAAGGUGGGAAAUCUCCUCUUGGGAGCAGUAAUUGAUGAUAACUCCCCAUUUGGAGCACACGGUGAGUCCCAGAGCCAUGCUCACAGCACCCUGAGUCUUCCAUACUGGAGUGGUGUUGCUCCCUGCCCACCAGCACUGAGGCUGCAGCAGAUUUGCUGUUUUAACAUAGCAUUGCAUCCCGGCUCCGUGUGCCAAAAUCAAUAAAGGGAUCAUGAAUGAUAUUUCAAUAAUAACGAUCAUGAGAACAAAUAUAGCCGUGUGCUGGGUGCUGUGCUCAAAUGCAACAGCACAGUCCCUCUGUUGUAUUUAAAGAUCCUGACCCUGGCUGGUUAGAUACCAGGAAAUCUGCUUAUUGAUUUAAUGACCUUUGGCUGAAGUCGUGAGCAGAGAGGAGGCAGAGGAGGAUGGAAUAGAAUCACAGAGCCAUCAAAUCACUGAGGUUGGAAAAGACCUCUGGGAUCUUCAAGUCUGACCCCUACCCAUCCCACCAUGCCCACCAGCCGUGUCCCUCGUGCCAUGUCUCCAUGCUUCCAGAACACUUCCAGGGAUGGUGACUCCACCACUUCCCUGUUUUAAUGCAUUACUUAAAGGUCUUUUCCAGCUUUAACAACUCUAUGACUAUGACCACUUCUUCUGAGAAGGAACCCUUCCCAAUAUCCAAACUGGAGAGCAGGGAUGCAGCUUGCUUGGCUGGGUUUGUUUCAUUCUACCCUUUUACCCUCUUUCUCUUCGUACUCCAGCACCAAGCUUGUCCAUCCCCAGGGAUAAGCACACCUUAUAGCCCCACGCUCCUCCCAAGGGUGGGUACAUCAGCACAGCCACACAGUGUGGCGCUCCCACCCGGGAGCCACCCUGCAGGAGGGUCUUUGGGUGCCCUCCUUCACCCACAGCUAUUUCCACCUGUGGGGCUGUCUAUGGAUAUCUCACCCCCAGGUCUGUGGGGCAGCCCUGGCUGGGGCCAUGCCUUGCCAAAAGCAUUUCCUGGUGAGUUGCAGCCCCGUGGUGAGCCAGCUGCUCGGCAUGGCUGAGAAUCGACAGGGAACCAAGCGGGUGGAGGAUUUUAAUACCUAUCCCUCUCAAACUGCUAUGGAAAGGGAAAGUUCAUUGGUUGUCGAUAUUAUCCUGCUGUGAUAAAAGCUUAAGAAGCUGCUUUGCAAAUGCCCACUGCGAGGAGCAUGCUAUAAAUGUUUCCAGCAUGAAGUGAUACAUCACAGCUCAUGGAUGUUCCCACUGAGAAAGACCCCAGCUCCAGCUUCUUCCAGGGACGCGCUUAGGAAAUGCAAUCUACCACUGCCAGCAUAAUCAAACACAUAUUGUUCCCAGGCACCAAAGUGGCCACCGGUGAAUUGAUACUUGGGAGCACUUUGUUCUUACACAGCUCUUCAUCUGUCACUCUCAAAAUCUGUGGGUUUUCUCCUUCUUUUUGUUUUUACAAGGGGUUCCUAUUACCAUCUCCACUCUGCCAGGAGGGAAACUGAGGCUGGGAAUGUCACCCAUGACUGCUGAGUCUGUGGACGUCUCCUUGGAAUCACAUCAGUUCAUUACAGGCACAGCUUUCCUUUGGCCAUCAGUGUCCAUCUGCUCAGAUGUUCCGGAGCUCCAUCAUGAAAGCCUGGGAAAUUUAUUUAUUUCAACCCAUUUAAAGUGAUUUCACUAAUGUAUUCCACAGAGUGGGUUUAGCGUGUGAGCUCUUUACUAAAAUCAUUACUGUAUUAAUGAGACCUAACCUAAAGCCACUGAACAUGACUUUAAAGGAAUAUCUCAAAGCGGCGGCUGAGAUGGAUGGGAGCAGGCAGAACGUGUUUGUAAAGUUAUAUUUAGUCAAAUCAAACUGGAACUCAUUAAAUACAGCAAAAUAAUUCACUGAAUAAUUCACUCCAGUUGAAUGCGAAGGAUUUGGAGAACCUUGGGUUGUUUGAUUGAAAAGCAGGUUAUUGAUGCUCCUGUGCAUGUGACAGAGCAGAAAUAGGAGUGGGAGGUGGAGAGCUGUCACCUCGGUGUGAAGGGCCUUCCGUGGAGAAAGGUCCAUCAGAACCAAAGGUUGGCAAAGCGUGGCUGGAAUUAAGGCUCACGCUUUUGUUUGGGAGGGAAAUGAACAGCAGCCCCUGAGUGGGGAGUAUGGGAUGUAGGAGAGCACUCUGGGAGCAGCGCAGGGUCAGAGGAGGAAUGGCUCCAGCAGUGCCUUUGCUUAUACCCAAGCAGGGCAUGCACCUACUCUUAAAGCAAGUAAAACCUCAUUCCCUCAUUCGUGCAAACUUCAGGCCACACCUCAGACCUGGUCCCAACCAUUCAGCCAUCCCUACAGCAUCGGAGAGGAUCAGCUUUGCUUCACAUAUGAGAAAACCCUGGCACAGACACCAUGGCAGCUCAGCCAUGUGUCCCCUCCGCACCCCCUCCUCCUUUAACCCCAUUCAUGCCAGCAUGCUCCGCUCUGGAAUCUCCCAGCAAAAGGAAAAGCUUUAAACAAAAUACAAUUUUACAGUUCAUUUCAGUUAAUCACAGAGUCUAUGUUCUGAAAUGAUCUUCUCGGCAUUGCCUAUGGAGAGAAGCAAUGGCUGAUUGGCAUUCCAUUACUAAACAGCUAAGCCAUUCAUAAUGCAAAAAAACAGACUUGAUGGAAAGAUUUGAUUCAGUUUUCAAGCUAGACUAAUUCAAAACCCAGUGCUCUAUAAAUCAGAGCAAAUGUUCUUUAUAAAAAAAAUAUAGCCGAGCCUGUGUGCAGUAUCAGAUCUAUGAUUUAUGCCUGUAUCCCAUUAAACUGAAGGACAAGCGAGGGGAGCACAGGGCUGCCACUGCAUGCCAGCUCCCUGCCUGCCCCGCAAUAAACACGUUCUGUGACUGCAGGAACAGUGUGAUGUCUGAGGGACGUUUGGGGGCUGAGGGGAUGUUCUGUUUUCCAGGGGCACAGCAAAGCCCCUUGGGGGGCUGUGGAGCCUGCAGGAGGGCAGGGGAUGGUGCCUCGGAGCAGCAGGGCUGUGCUGAAGCCCUCGGUUUUUCCUUCUUUGCUGCACCACCUCAUGCCCUGCAGAGUCCCUUCUGCAGAGAUACCACUGUUUUUCAGCCUGCAGGUGGGAUGUCUCCUUUGAGCAUCACAGGAUACAACAGUUCCCCAGCACCACUUUCAGGCUGCAGCAGAAGGAAGCGGUCCAGGAAACAUCCCACGCGUGUUUCCUUCCUGCUAAACCUCUCCACCCGAUGGCAGCUUCAGCGCUGUGCAUUGCUUUGGUGCAUGGAGCAGUGCUGUGUUCCACACCAAGCCCUGGGUGUGGGUGUUCUUCCACCUCUCCGUGCAUCUCCUGCUCUUGUUUGCCUUCUCUACAGCCCACGUGGCUCCACACCGAGUGGAGCUGGGGGCCGUUAACAUCUGUUGGCACUCCAGAGCUCGUGGGGAAAACGAUGCCAUCUUUCAGGGACCGCCGCUGACAUUUUAAAAGCCGUGUCUGAAAUCCCUGAACAAUUAAGAGCGAGGCUUUCACAUUCCUCCCUACCCACAGCAUUGCACAGGCAAGGCACCAGCUGAGAAGUGCGUGGUGAUAGGAAAAGCCACGAUUAAUGAAUAAUGGAGCGCUGGCAAUAUGUAACUUCCAGGCGGAGCCAUCAUAAUUCAAUCCAAGCAGCAAUAUCAGGGCCUUUCCUUGGAGGAGUCUAAGCAGUGGUUAAAUAUUCAAUAAAAAAAAAAGAUGGC